GAUGAAGAACGCAGCGAAAUGCGAUAAGUAGUGUGAAUUGCAGAAUUCAGUGAAUCAUCGAAUCUUUGAACGCACAUUGCGCCCUCUGGUAUUCCGGGGGGCAUGCCUGUUCGAGCGUCAUUAUAACCACUCAAGCUCUCGCUUGGUAUUGGGGCUCGCGGUUCCGCGGCCCCUAAAAUCAGUGGCGGUGCCUGUCGGCUCUACGCGUAGUAAUACUCCUCGCGAUUGAGUCCGGUAGGUCUACUUGCCAGCAACCCCCAAUUUUUACAGGUUGACCUCGGAUCAGGUAGGGAUACCCGCUGAACUUAAGCAUAUCAAUAAGCGGAGGA
rnacentral:misc_RNA from 1 species